GUGCUCGCUUCGGCAACACAUAUACUAAAAUUGGAACAAUAUAAUAGAUGAUUAGCAUGGCCCCUGCACAACGAUGAUAUGCAAAUUCGUGAAGUGUUCCAUAUUUUU